rnacentral:rRNA from 1 species
AAGUCGUAACAAGGUUUCCGUAGGUGAACCUGCGGAAGGAUCAUUAUUGAACGAAAUCGAGAGGCUGUAGCUGGCAUCCUUUUUUUUUUGGGUUGCAUUGUGCACGCCUUUCAAAACUCAUCUCAACCACCUGUGUGCACUUUUUUGUAGACCUGGGAAAUGGACCUCUAGUCGUUUUCUUGUGUCUAUGAUAAUAAUACACUCUUCAUGUUAUGGAAUGUCCUUGGGUUGGGGGCCUCCCCCCUUUAAAAUUGUAUUAUACAACUUUCAACAACGGAUCUCUUGGCUCUUGCAUCGAUGAAGAACGCAGCGAAAUGCGAUAAGUAAUGUGAAUUGCAGAAUUCAGUGAAUCAUCGAAUCUUUGAACGCACCUUGCGCUCCUUGGUAUUCCGAGGAGCAUGCCUGUUUGAGUGUCAUCAAAUUCUCAAAAACCCCUUCUUUUGUUACCAAGGGCUUUUUGGAUGGUGGGGAUUUGUGCUGGCUUUCCAAGUCAGCUUCCCUUGAAUGCAUUAGCGGAAAUUUGUGGACCGUCUUUUUGGUGUGAUAAAUAUAUUGUUUACGCCAUUAUCAGUUCCCAUAUACAUUUUUCGGCUUCAAAACCGUCCCUCCAGACAAACUUGAUUGACAUUUUUUGACCUCAAAUCAGGUAGGACUACCCGCUGAACUUAA